GAUGAACGCUGACAGAAUGCUUAACACAUGCAAGUCUUUGGCGAAGCUGUGCUUGCACAGCCUAGCCAAGGCGGACGGGUGAGUAACGCGUAAGGAACUUGCCCUGCAGUCAGGGAUAACAGACGGAAACGACUGAUAAGACCUGGUAAAGUCAGGCGGACUCAUGUCCAGCCUGAUGAAAAGAGAUGCUGCAGGAGAGCCUUGCGUCCUAUUAGCUUGUUGGUGGGGUAACGGCCCACCAAGGCGAUGAUAGGUAGCCGGCCUGAGAGGGUGGACGGCCACAAGGGGACUGAGAUACGGCCCUUACUCCUACGGGAGGCAGUAGUGGGGAAUAUUGGACAAUGGGGGCAACCCUGAUCCAGCAAUUCUGUGUGCACGAUGAAGGUUUUCGGAUUGUAAAGUGCUUUCAGCAGGGAAGAAAAAAAUGACGGUACCUGCAGAAGAAGCGACGGCUAAAUACGUG
rnacentral:rRNA from 1 species